UCCUAUAUGUAUGACACAAUCACACCCCUAUAACAUGAAUUGAUUUUUGUAUUCCUUCAGCCAUAUUUCACAUAUAAAAAAGUUAUGGAAAAUAUGUAAACCAGUAUCGCCUCUCAUCUCAUUCAGAUCAACUGAGUUCAUUCAAAUCAACUCAACGUAAGCAAGUAUUACGACGUUAGCGAAAAUAUUGAUUAACAAGUUGUAUGUAUAGCUAUUUGUAUGCUUUGCAACACUUAAGCAACAAAAAAUAGCAGCUGUAAUCAUCUCAGGGCUUGUAAAUAAAUACAUACCUAUAUAUGUACGAAGCAAAUACAGAUAAAUAUAAUCAGUUAACUCUAAAUAUCUACAAUGGAAAGAGUACUUACUCAUACAAGAGAUCAACAAAUUAUCGCAAAAAUCAUGGUGCAAGAUCCAAUCACUAUGCAAAACUGGAUCCACAUAUCACACGAACUUGGUUUAGGUGCUGAAUUCGAAACAAGACAUUAUCCCCAAGUGGUGAUGGGCCUUUUAAAAUACGAUAUCCUGUUCCAAAAAAUGCUUCAGGAGUGGGUCGCCGCAUUCAGAGGGGAAGCUACCGUGGGAGAAUUAUGCAAAAUAUUGAGUCAACUCGGACUUAAAACGAUAUCUAAUGAUAUCGAGGCCCAUUUUUUAAACCAAACGGAUAAUUCAGUUGAAUCCAACCCAGAUGGAGACGUGGGACCAGAGGCCAAGAAGAAGAAGGAAGAACGAAUUCUCUUUUUGCCCUUUCCAAAGCCUGAUAAAAAUUUCACUGGCAGAACUCAACUUAGUGAAGACAUUGUUAAAUGUCUCACAGAAUGGGGGAAAAAUCCAAGUCACCAGGUUGGGUUUCCCCUCGUCGAUCUGUACGGUCUUGGAGGUCACGGAAAAACACAAACUGCACAAAGCAUUGCAAACAGAUGCGCUCAAGAGGAAAUAUUUAAUGGAGUAAUAUGGAUAGAUGCAGAACACGAAACUGGAAUCAUAGAAAAAAUUCGAAGGGAAUUACACAAUCAAUGAAUUUAAGAUUUCCAAGAGAAUGAUGGGCUUCUGCUGGCCAAUAGAUUUUACGAUUUCUUAAUUUCUAAAAGUCCGCAACAAUUUUUAGUCAUAUUUGACAAUGUAAAUGGAUUUGAAGAAAUCGAGAAAUAUUUACCGCUUAACAAAAACGUGGACAAUAUAGCCGUCUUACUGACAUCUGUGGAAAAGAUUAUAAUUCUGAGUGGAAUGGGGGAAAUUGGAAGUUUUAGGGUGGACGUUUUACAAGAAGGUGAAGCUAGAGAAUUGGUAUCCAAGAUAUUGCCGGAGUCGGCUGAAUCUGAUAUUUCCCUCCUGGUCGCCGAGUCCGACCGAAUACCAAUAAUUCUCUGUAUUAUGGCAGGAACCAUCGCUCACAGUUCAUACACAAUCGUCCAAUUUGUUGAAGCAAUGAAGGACAAAUCCAAAAUUAUUAGAUAUCCACACGAUCCCAAUAAGAAAGACAACCUGAACUUGCAGUACAAGAAAAGUUUAUACGUUUGUGUUAAAAUUACUCUCGACAAAUUAAUGGAAUCGAAUCAUUUGUAUGCCUCACUAGCAAUACAUAUUAUUGAGAGAUAUGCCUAUUUCGACAUUAGUUGUCCCAUUGUGUAUUUCCUGAAUUAUAUCUCCACUAUUAAACACGACAUUGACCAAAUUUUAAACGAGAGUUUGGGCCUGCGUGGGUCAGUCGAAGUCUUCAAAAGUGCCAUAUCAUUCCUUUCGACAUUCUCCUUAGUUAAUUACACAACUUCUGAGCAUUCAAGCUUCAAUUAUAAGCUAAGCUUCAUCGCUUAAUUCAAGAAACAUUUAUAUCAAUACAAAGAGAUGAAGCACGUGAACAUGACAUAUUGGAUGACAUUAUCGGAUGCAAGGAUUAUCUGCAAUUUAAUGAUACCGAGGAAGAUAUUCUCGACUAUUAUAGGAUCAAAAGACCAAUUGCUAUUCUGUGGUCGCACGUGGCAGACCACGA